GUGCUUAUUGUCAUCUGUGUGAUAUAAUCCGGCGUCUGUGUUUUCAAAAUGGUUUUCCCGCUGCCGUGCAUCGAAGAACGAACACGCGCGCCUAGGCGGCGACGCUGACCGGCGCUGCCCCGACGGCGGCGAGGAUCUUGUCGUCGAGGUCGAAGGUCAUGGCCUUUUCCCCCCGGCCGCUGCUCGCGUACUCGGCGAACCGCUCCUUGAGGUCCUCCGGCAGGUUGGUGGUGCUCGUCCAUCCCAGCACCUCCUUGGCCGCCCGAGGCUCCGCGUAGAAAUGCUGCAACCAUCGCCAUUGCAACAUCUUCAUCACGCUCCAAUCCAUACCGGAGAUUGCAAAGGUAGCAAUUAUAAUAUCUCGAUUAUCUUUUUGUUACGUACCAUGUUGCGGAAGGGGAAGGCCUUCUUGGCGUCGACGCCGACGGCGGCCGGGUCGUAGUGGACGAUCUCGACGGUGGCGCCGGCGGCCGCCGCGCACAUCUUGGCCAGGCCGUCGAGCGUCACGCCGCGGUCGCUCACGCAGUUGAAUAUCUUCCCGGCGGCGGCGUCCGGGUUCUCCACGGCGAGCGUGAGCAUGCUUCCCAGGUCCCUCGCGUGCGAGAUGUUGGUCAGCUGCAUCCCCGACCCCGGGAUCGGCACCGGCCGCUUCCGCACAAUUCCUACCAAUUUCAAUCCAAGAAUGAAUGCAAUGUGUUGAUUGCAAAAUGAAUCCAAGAACUAAUUUGUGGGUGAUCGAGCGAGCUGGGCAGAAUGAUUUUUGACUUACUGUCGAAGAACCACUCCUCGCAGUCCUUGUUGUUGCCGGAGCCGGUCAUGUACUGCGGCCGGAACGAGGCCCAGCUGCCGAACUCCGCCGCGAUGUACUUCUCCACGCCGACGUGCCCGGCGCUCUCCUUCACGGCGUCCUGCGAUGCGAGCACCGACGUAGAUGGAAAUGGAAUCACGAUCAUCGGCUACUCGCCUCUGACCAACCGAUGAACAUUGGUCAUGUUGGAUGGAGAUGGAAUGAAUGAUUUACCCCCUCGACGUGCGGCGGCUCGUCGGUUUGGAGGUAGAUCCCGGCGCUGCUGAUGAACAGGAACUGGCCGACCCCGGCCGCCUUGGCCCAGUCCGCCACCGGCCUGCACGCAACCAAGAAUCACAUUGCAUUGCUGACCGAUCUCGUGGCAAGAAACAGAGGCGGUUAACCGUGGAGCGAGCAGAGCAUAGCAUACUUGACGGCGUCGAGGUCCUUGCCGUUGUUGUCGAGCACGACGUCGAAGGACGCAGCGCCGACGGCCGCGCCGACGUCCGCCGGGUCGCCCCACACCGUCUUGGCCCCGGCGCUGGUCAGCUCCUGCAUGCACGCACGCGCCGCACAGAAGACAGAACC
rnacentral:lncRNA from 1 species